ensembl:lincRNA Gm13206 predicted gene 13206
CUGGCUUUCAACGCUGGCCAAGGGUGAAAUUGCAUUACAUUCUGCCUGGUAAUGAGGUGUUGCAGGUCUCGGCCCCCAGCCAGAAGACACAGCUCUGGCCACCAGCCCUGGCCCAGCCAUCCUCCAGCCAGGACUGGACUGCCUAGCAGAGCCAGGGAGGAGGCAGGGUGCAAGUACUUGAGGCACAGAAAAGUGCAGAGGCAGAGGGUCAACACCAGGAUGCCCUCUCUGCUUUAUGCUUGCUGCUGAAGAUGUGAACUUCUCAGCUUCCUGCUCAGUUACCAGACUUCCACUUUAACAUCAUGGACUCUAAAUCUCCGGAACCUUGCCUGAGCCUUCCUUCUCCACUCUGCUUACAGUAAUUGGUUACAACAGCCAACAGAAUCUAAUCCAGUGCCCGAUGAACAAGCCGCCACUAAGGCUGAUACUCAUUCCAGACAGAGGGCAGACCAUGUGACCCCCAAGGAUGCUCUGCCCUGCCAAACCGCUGCCCGCUGGCCUUCAUCCUGCUCAACCGUGCCCUGAUGACCAUUAGCCAUGGCUGGAAAACCAAUAGCUGCUGCCAGGAGGACAGCACGCACUAUGGCCUCCUCUUUGCAUACAUGGAACUCUAAAUCCCAGAGAGGCAAGACCAGAGACUUCUCAGGUUCCCUCCCAGCACACACAGCAAACACAAGAGCUAUGAACAUUAAUCUUGUGCCAAACUACCAAAGCCUGGUCUCCUUGAACUUUCUACUGCCCCAGCCCAGAGCAGGAUAUGCCAUAUGGCCAAUGAAGGUAGAUAAAGGGUCUUCAUAGUACAACAUUGUAAAAUUAUACAUCCUGGAGUACUUGUCUGUGAACUUUAAAUGGAAAUCAUACAAAGGAGUACAGACAGAGUUGAAACUUUUCUCCGUCAAGCCUUCUGUUAUGUUAGAGACAGGCUAGCUGGCCCACAAGUCUAUGAGGAGUCUCCUGUCUCAAUUUCCCGUCUCACCACAGUGCUUUGCUACCACAUUCUGGGGUUCUGGGGGUCCA